rnacentral:rRNA from 1 species
CCUACGGGGGGCAGCAGUGAGGAAUAUUGGUCAAUGGACGAGAGUCUGAACCAGCCAAGUAGCGUGAAGGAUGACUGCCCUAUGGGUUGUAAACUUCUUUUAUAUGGGAAUAAAAUGUUCCACGUGUGGGAUUUUGUAUGUACCAUAUGAAUAAGGAUCGGCUAACUCCGUGCCAGCAGCCGCGGUAAUACGGAGGAUCCGAGCGUUAUCCGGAUUUAUUGGGUUUAAAGGGAGCGUAGGUGGAUUGUUAAGUCAGUUGUGAAAGUUUGCGGCUCAACCGUAAAAUUGCAGUUGAAACUGGCAGUCUUGAGUACAGUAGAGGUGUGCGGAAUUCGUGGUGUAGCGGUGAAAUGCUUAGAUAUCACGAAGAACUCCGAUUGCGAAGGCAGUUCACUGGACUGCAACUGACACUGAGGCUCGAAAGUGUGGGUAUCAAACAGGAUUAGAUACCCCUAUAGUC